UGGGGAAUAUUGCACAAUGGGGGAAACCCUGAUGCAGCGACGCCGCGUGAGCGAAGAAGGUUUUCGAAUCGUAAAGCUCUGUCCUAUGGGAAGAUAAUGACGGUACCAUAGGAGGAAGCCCCGGCUAACUACGUGCCAGCAGCCGCGGUAAUACGUAGGGGGCUAGCGUUAUCCGGAUUUACUGGGCGUAAAGGGUGCGUAGGUGGUCUUUCAAGUCGGUGGUUAAAGGCUACGGCUCAACCGUAGUUAGCCUCCGAAACUGGAAGACUUGAGUGCAGGAGAGGAAAGUGGAAUUCCCAGUGUAGCGGUGAAAUGCGUAGAUAUUGGGAGGAACACCAGUAGCGAAGGCGGCUUUCUGGACUGCAACUGACACUGAGGCACGAAAGCGUGGGUAGCAAACAGG
rnacentral:rRNA from 1 species